rnacentral:rRNA from 1 species
CCUACGGGCGGCUGCAGUGGGGAAUAUUGCACAAUGGGCGCAAGCCUGAUGCAGCCAUGCCGCGUGUGUGAAGAAGGCCUUCGGGUUGUAAAGCACUUUCAGCGGGGAGGAAGGCGGUGAGGUUAAUAACCUCAUCGAUUGACGUUACCCGCAGAAGAAGCACCGGCUAACUCCGUGCCAGCAGCCGCGGUAAUACGGAGGGUGCAAGCGUUAAUCGGAAUUACUGGGCGUAAAGCGCUCGCAGGCGGUCUGUCAAGUCGGAUGUGAAAUCCCCGGGCUCAACCUGGGAACUGCAUUCGAAACUGGCAGGCUAGAGUCUUGUAGGGGGGGGUAGAAUUCCAGGUGUAGCGGUGAAAUGCGUAGAGAUCUGGAGGAAUACCGGUGGCGAAGGCGGCCCCCUGGACAAAGACUGACGCUCAGGUGCGAAAGCAUGGGGAGCAAACAGGAUUAGAUACCCUAGUAGUC